rnacentral:rRNA from 1 species
UACCAGCUCUCCGAGUUGUAGGGAUGAUUAUUGGGCUUAAAGCGUCCGUAGCUGGCUUAGCAAGUCUCCUGUUAAAUUCAGCGGCCUAAUCGUUGAGCCGCGGGAGAUACUAUUAGGCUAGGAGGCGGGAGAGGUCGACGGUACUUUCGGGGUAGGGGUGAAAUCCUAUAAUCCCGGGAGGACCACCAGUGGCGAAGGCUGUCGACUAGAACGCGCUCGACGGUGAGGGACGAAAGCUGGGGUAGCGAACCGGAUUAGAUACCCGGGUAGUCCCAGCUGUAAACGAUGCGGGCUAGGUGUUGGGAUGGCUACGGGCCAUUUCAGUGCCGCAGGGAAGCCAUUAAGCCCGCCGCCUGGGAAGUACGGUCGCAAGGCUGAAACUUAAAGGAAUUGGCGGGGGAGCACAGCAACGGGAGGAGCGUGCGGUUU